GACUCUCGGCAACGGAUAUCUCGGCUCUUGCAUCGAUGAAGAACGUAGCGAAAUGCGAUACUUGGUGUGAAUUGCAGAAUCCCGUGAACCAUCGAGUCUUUGAACGCAAUUUGUGCCCAAAGCCUUUUUGGCCAAGGGCACGCCUGCCUGGGCGUCACACACAG
rnacentral:rRNA from 1 species